rnacentral:rRNA from 1 species
UACAGAGGGGGCAAGCGUUGUUCGGAAUUACUGGGCGUAAAGGGCGCGUAGGCGGCCCGCUAAGUCGAACGUGAAAUCCCCGAGCUCAACUCGGGAACUGCGUCCGAUACUGAUCGACUUGAAGGCAGGAGAGGGAAGCGGAAUUCCCGGUGUAGUGGUGAAAUGCGUAGAUAUCGGGAGGAACACCAGUGGCGAAGGCGGCUUCCUGGCCUGUUCUUGACGCUGAGGCGGCGAAAAGCUGAGGGGAGCAAACGGGG